GCGAGGUGUUGCUGAGGAACACACUGUUACUAAAGGACCUAGCGAGGUGUUGCUGAGGAACACACUGUUACUGAAGGACCUAGCGAGGUGCUGCUGAGGAACACACUGUUACUAAAGGACCUAGCGAGGUGUUGCUGAGGAACACACUGUUACUAAAGGACCUAGCGAGGUGUUGCUGAGGAACACACUGUUACUAAAUCCUUUGAGAACUGUGCCUUAUGAAGGACAUGCUUGGUUUUAAAGGUUUUUAUUUAGAAUUAAGAAUGAAUUAUGUUUUGUAUUGUUUACAGAGGAGAAUGUUUUUGCAGUAGAGUUGAACAUCAGAACACUGAGCUGUUGCAAAAGCAGGAUCAGUAAGUUAAGCCAGAUAACUCUUAUUAGGGGUAAAAUAUAGUUCUUGAUUUACUGAUAUAUUUAUAAAGCUGAACUUGAAUAUGGUUGUCAAGUCAGUUACAAUACAAUGAUGCCAGGUAUACCUUGACGUUAUUGCCAUGAUGCCAGUUAUACCUUGACGUUAUUGCCAUGAUGCUAGGUAUACCUUGACGUUAUUGCCAUGAUGCUAGUGUCAAGUCUCUGACAUUAUUUAGAGCGUUUGUUAGUCGGCUAACUGGUUGAUCCUGCGGUCUGGAACAGCCCCACGUCUCUGUUCAACCACCAGACCUCCAUGUUUUAAUAAACACUCUGAACCACCAGACAGACAUGUUUUAAUAAACACUCCGAACCACCAGACCUCCAUGUUUUAAAUCAAAUCAAAUCAAAUUGUAUUUGUCACAUACACAUGGUUAGCAGAUGUUAAUGCGAGUGUAGCGAAAUGCUUGUGCUUCUAGUUCCGACAAUGCAGUAAUAACCAACAAGUAAUCUAACUAACAAUUCCAAAACGACUGUCUUAUACACAGUGUAAGGGGAUAAAGAAUAUGUACAUAAAGAUAUAUGAAUGAGUGAUGGUACAGAGCAGCAUAGGCAAGAUACAGUAGAUGGUAUCGAGAACAGUAUAUACAUAUGAGAUGAGUAUGUAAACAAAGUGGCAUAGUUAAAGUGGCUAGUGAUACAUGUAUUACAUAAGGAUGCAGUAGAUGAUAUAGAGUACAGUAUAUACGUAUGCAUAUGAGAUGAAUAAUGUAGGGUAUGAGCUGUGAACCCACACUUUCAAUUGAUUCAUUUUAGGUAAUAAGCUUCUAGUGUUAACAUGCAGAAAACCCAGGCUUUUACGAGAGCAGAAAUCAGUGAAGCAGAUAUCAGAGCACAAGUCAGAGUUGGGGCUAGCAACAGUAGAUGGGCCAGGGUGUACAUGCACAUUUCCAGAUAUCAUCAACACUAAUACAAUCAAGGCACGGCAGAGGACAGGGAGAACUCCGCAGUGCUGAUUUAUGACAUCUGAAUGUGCAUCAGGUGGCAACAAGAUCAUAUUUACAGCAAUUUUAUCAGGUAACAUGAAUACAAAGCCGGUGAGAGGUGGUUAGAAUAGGAUGGGAUGCCAGAAGUCUGUGUAACCAAUAGAGAGUCAGAGUCCCGAGUGUGGGAACAAACAGUCUGUCCCACGGUUGGGUAAAGAAAGUUAGUAGUCAACAAAGUAUGCAGGAGUCAUGAGGCAAAUACCAAUAUAACAAAAUGCACAAAAAAAAAAUAUAUAUAUGAACGACUUGGGGCUAGCCAUAAAUAUAUAAACGACUUGGGGC
ensembl:lncRNA